UUACGGUUAUAUCACGUUGAAACACCGGUUCUCGUACGACCGCCGAAGUUAAGCAACGUCGAGUCUGGAUGGGUGACCACUUUGGAAUACCAGGUACUGAAA